rnacentral:rRNA from 1 species
CGCGUAGGCGGCCUGUUAAGUCGAACGUGAAAUCCCCGGGCUCAACCCGGGAACUGCGUCCGAUACUGGCAGGCUCGAAUUCGGGAGAGGGAUGUGGAAUUCCAGGUGUAGCGGUGAAAUGCGUAGAUAUCUGGAGGAACACCGGUGGCGAAGGCGGCAUCCUGGACCGACAUUGACGCUGAGGCGCGAAAGCCAGGGGAGCAAACG